rnacentral:lncRNA from 1 species
UGGGGGAACUCAUGUUGAAGGAGCUCGGGUGGUGUAGUGGAAGUUCGUCCGUUGGGGGAAUUCAGUCAGGGGAGGUACCAUCUGCGGUCGAUAGCCGGAGGAGUCUCGGGAGGGUCAAUCCUGUUGGAAACUUCGGCUGAGGGUAUUUUAUACCCAACAUGGCUUUUAGCUAAUAAUCAGAGUUUCUGGCCUGAAACUUCAAUUAAAAAAACAAAGCUGCAUAGAGAAAGUGGCGCA